rnacentral:rRNA from 1 species
GAUGAACGCUGGCGGCGUGCCUAAUACAUGCAAGUCGAGCGAAUGGAUUAAGAGCUUGCCCUUAUGAAGUUAGCGGCGGACGGGUGAGUAACACGUGGGUAACCUGCCCAUAAGACUGGGAUAACUCCGGGAAACCGGGGCUAAUACCGGAUAAUAUUUUGAACCGCAUGGUUCGAAAUUGAAAGGCGGCUUCGGCUGUCACUUAUGGAUGGACCCGCGUCGCAUUAGCCAGUUGGUGAGGUAACGGCUCACCAAGGCAACGAUGCGUAGCCGACCUGAGAGGGUGAUCGGCCACACUGGGACUGAGACACGGCCCAGACUCCUACGGGAGGCAGCAGUAGGGAAUCUUCCGCAAUGGACGAAAGUCUGACGGAGCAACGCCGCGUGAGUGAUGAAGGCUUUCGGGUCGUAAAACUCUGUUGUUAGGGAAGAACAAGUGCUAGUUGAAUAAGCUGGCACCUUGACGGUACCUAACCAGAAAGCCACGGCUAACUACGUGCCAGCCGCCGCCGUAA